GAUGAAGAACGUAGCGAAAUGCGAUAAGUAAUGUGAAUUGCAGAAUUCAGUGAAUCAUCGAAUCUUUGAACGCACCUUGCGCCCUUUGGCCAUUCCGAAGGGCAUGCCUGUUUGAGUAUCAUGAACACCUCAACUCUUCAUGGUUUUCCGUGAUGAGCUUGGACUUUGGGGGUCUUGCUGGCCUAUGGUCAGCUCCUCUAAAAUAAAUCAGCUUGCCAGUGUUUGGUGGGUAUCACAGGUGUGAUAACUAUCUACGCUUGUGGUUUUCCACCAGGUAACCUUCAGCAGUGGAGGUUCGCUGGAGCUCACAGAUGUGUCUCUCCUCAGUGAGGACAGCUCUUUGAAUGUUUGAUCUCAAAUCAGGUAGGACUACCCGCUGAACUUAAGGAUAUCAAUAAGCGGAGGA
rnacentral:misc_RNA from 1 species